CCGAGAAUAGCUCAGCUGGCAGAGCGGGAGACUGUAGUGUGCUGCAUGCGAAUGCGUGUGGCUUGAUUGGCAUCUCUAGGUCCCUGGUUCAAUUCCGGGUUCUCGGA